rnacentral:rRNA from 1 species
UGGGGAAUAUUGGACAAUGGGCGAAAGCCUGAUCCAGCCAUGCCGCGUGUGUGAAGAAGGUCUUCGGAUUGUAAAGCACUUUAAGUUGGGAGGAAGGGCAGUAAGCGAAUACCUUGCUGUUUUGACGUUACCGACAGAAUAAGCACCGGCUAACUCUGUGCCAGCAGCCGCGGUAAUACAGAGGGUGCAAGCGUUAAUCGGAAUUACUGGGCGUAAAGCGCGCGUAGGUGGUUCGUUAAGUUGAAUGUGAAAGCCCCGGGCUCAACCUGGGAACUGCAUCCAAAACUGGCGAGCUAGAGUAGGGCAGAGGGUGGUGGAAUUUCCUGUGUAGCGGUGAAAUGCGUAGAUAUAGGAAGGAACACCAGUGGCGAGGGCGACCACCUGGGCUCAUACUGACACUGAGAUGCGAAAGCGUGGGGAGCAAACAGG